rnacentral:lncRNA from 10 species
GGGGUUUCACUGUGUUGGCCAGGCUGGUCUCAAAACCCUAACCUCAUGAUCCUCCUGCCUUCGCCUCCCAAAGUGCUGGGAUUACAGGCAUGAGCCACUGCACUCGGCCUAUAAUGCUUUUCAAAAAAGAAAUCUCAUGGUUGGAAGUUGACGGGGCAUACCCAAUUUUUGGAAAAGUACACUUUAUUGGUUAAAAUGUCAUUAUAAUUAGCAAAUGACUAUACAAAAUGGCAUUCUUGUAUUCAAUAUUCAAUAUUAUUUUGUGCUUGAAUGAAUCACCCAGUUAGUUUUCUGACCAAAACACAAUCCUUUUUAAAAAAUUUGUUUACAAUUUCAGUAUGUUAUGUAGUUACAGAUGAGUAAGUCAGAGAAUUAAUUUCACAAUGAAGUAAUUAACACUUUCAAAGG